AACGAACGCUGGCGGCAGGCUUAACACAUGCAAGUCGAACGCCCCGCAAGGGGAGUGGCAGACGGGUGAGUAACGCGUGGGAAUCUACCCAGAUCUUCGGAACAACUGAGGGACACUUCAGCUAAUACCGGAUACGCCCUAAGGGGGAAAGAUGUAUCGGUUCUGGAUGAGCCCGCGUUGGAUUAGCUAGGUGGUGGGGUAAUGGCCUACCAAGGCGACGAUCCAUAGCUGGUCUGAGAGGAUGAUCAGCCACACUGGGACUGAGACACGGCCCAGACUCCUACGGGAGGCAGCAGUGGGGAAUAUUGGACAAUGGGCGAAAGCCUGAUCCAGCCAUGCCGCGUGAGUGAUGAAGGCCUUAGGGUUGUAAAGCUCUUUCAGUGGGGAAGAUAAUGACGGUACCCACAGAAGAAGCCCCGGCUAACUUCGUGCCAGCCGCCGCCGUAACAC
rnacentral:rRNA from 1 species